rnacentral:lncRNA from 1 species
CCUACACAGUAGGUCGGGUUCUGCGUGCCCAAGCCGCACACUGUCAUGCCUGGGCUGCGCACCACCAUGCGUGGUCGUGUCGCCGCAGCUCCGUCAGCCCACCCUCCACUACUUCAAAAUUCAUGCUAGCUUCGAUCGAGCAUAUCUCAACCAUUCAGACUCCCUUUGAGGUGAUCUUGGGCUCGUUGGACUCUAUUUUUCGUUACGGGCCUCACUAUGGACUCAAUAUGGAUCGAAUCUUAAGGUAUCAAAUCCUAACAAUCUUCACCUCAAUACGAUAUUCAGCUUCCUCCUAACUUUGAGAGCUUCUGGAUCUCCUCGCCCCCAUACCCUGGGGCAAUCGUCUACUGAUCAUGGAUAGGCAAACAUAGGAGUUGAGUCAGGCCGCUCUAUCCCAUCUCCAUCAUAUGCUGUGCUUCUCCUGAUCCGAGACCUACUCGGGGCAUCAUCCUGCGGCAAUAAAAAUCUCACCUUGCGAUAUUGCCUUUUAUCCUUCUGAGUCUCGCAUCUCGUGCCCGAUCCACCUUCACCUGGUGCUCCACCUCACUCUGGACUCCUCUUGACUCCGAAAGCUCCACCUCGCACUGGACUCCCCAUCAUGUAAUAAUUUUCUCUCCUCGUCUUCUUUCCCUCCAAAAUAAUCCUAUCGUCGCAUAGCACCUUCAAGAUUCCUCCGCCAGCUACCAUUUUGUAGCCUCUCGAAUCCAGUCUGCUCAGUGAGAUAAGAUUUCAUCUGAAAUUACAUAUAUAUCAGACCUCUCCCAAUCUCUUCACUGCACCAUCAUGUAUCCUCCAGCUGAUCAUCCUGAUGCCUCUGAUCGCACAGCUUGAUCCAUCCAGC